rnacentral:rRNA from 1 species
UGGGGAAUAUUGCACAAUGGGGGAAACCCUGAUGCAGCGACGUAGCGUGCGGGAUGACGGCCUUGGGGUUGUAAACUGCUUUCAGCAGGGAAGAAGCGAAAGUGACGGUACCUGCAGAAGAAGUACCGGCGUACUACGUGCCAGCACCAGCGGUAAUACGUAGGGUACGAGCGUUGUCCGGAAUUAUUGGGCGUAAAGAGCUGGUAGGUGGUUGGUCACGUCUGCUGUGGAAACGCAACGCUUAACGUUGCGCGUGCAGUGGGUACGGGCUGACUAGAGUGCAGUAGGGGAGUCUGGAAUUCCUGGUGUAGCGGUGAAAUGCGCAGAUAACAUGAGGACCACCGGUGGCGAAGUCGGGACUCUGGGCUGUAACUUACACUGAGGAGCGAAAGCAUGGGGAGCGAACAGG